rnacentral:lncRNA from 1 species
UUACGUUGCGGUACAAGAAUCAUUUUCAUUUUUCAAACUUUUUCAGGCUGAUGAUGUAAGCAUUUAAUUAACAGUCAAAUAAGAAAGUUAUUAUGGGAAUAUUUUCAAAACCUCAAAAAGCUAUGUGAAAAUGAAAAAUAUAUCAGGGAUUUUAAGUCAUAGCUCAACCCCACCCCACGACUGAAACAUUUAUUAUUAGAGUGGCUCCAGCGAAGGAGCCCAGCCCGAGGCAAGGGCAGAAAAAAAAAAAAAUUUCGCUCCAGCGUGCAGCCCAGGCCCGGGUUUGGUGUGGGACCCACCAACUCGGGCCAGCCCAAAGGCCAAACCAGCCCCAGGUCCAAAACGCGGGUGCUGACGUCAGCUAG